CUUCACUCACUACCACUGGAGCACGAUAACCUGACCUCUCUGUCACGAUAUGUGCUGGUGAACAUAGAGAGCGUUUGAGCAGCUUGGACACGAAGUUGGAGCAGUGUGUCGGGGAGGAAACAUGGAAACUGUGCAGCACACACAGAGUCAUACUUUGACCUGAGCAUGUCUCUACACUGUAUUCAAUCGGCUCCAUUUGGAGGUUCACAAAUGCAAGAGACAGAGAAGGCAACCAUGCAUUGAGAACCGGCAACCGUGCUUUGAGAGCGGGACCAUGAUCGGAGGGCAGUACAGCCAGAAGUGUACCGUAUUUUUAGGACUAUAAGCCACCACUUUUUUCCCACGUUUUUAACCCCGCGGCUUAAAUAACGAAGCCGC